rnacentral:rRNA from 1 species
GUGAGGAAUAUUGCGCAAUGGACGAAAGUCUGACGCAGCCAUGCCGCGUGAAGGAUUGACGGCCCUAUGGGUUGUAAACUUCUUUUGUAUAGGAAUAAACCCUCGUUCGUGAACGAGGCUGAAGGUACUAUAAGAAUAAGCACCGGCUAACUCCGUUCCAGCAGCCGCGGUAAUACGGAGGGUGCAAGCGUUAUCCGGAUUUAUUGGGUUUAAAGGGUCCGUAGGCGGAUCGUUAAGUCAGUGGUGAAAUCCUACCGCUCAACGGUAGAACUGCCAUUGAUACUGGCGAUCUUGAGUAUGUAUGAAGGUGGCGGAAUGUGUGGUGUAGCGGUGAAAUGCUUAGAUAUCACACAGAACACCGAUUGCGAAGGCAGCUGACUAAUACACAACUGACGCUGAGGGACGAAAGUGUGGGGAUCAAACAGGAUUAGAUACCCUUGUAGUCC